rnacentral:rRNA from 1 species
UACGUAGGGUGCGAGCGUUAAUCGGAAUUACUGGGCGUAAAGGGUGCGUAGGCGGUUCGUUAUGUCUGCUGUGAAAGCCCCGGGCUUAACCCGGGAAUGGCAGUGGAAACUGGCGGGCUUGAGUGUGGCAGAGGGGGGUGGAAUUCCGCGUGUAGCAGUGAAAUGCGUAGAGAUGCGGAGGAACACCGAUGGCGAAGGCAGCCCCCUGGGCUAACACUGACGCUGAGGCACGAAAGCGUGGGGAGCAAACAGG